CCGUCAAUUCAUUUGAGUUUUAGUCUUGCGACCGUACUUCCCAGGCGGAGUACUUAAUGCGUUAGCUGCGGCACUGCAGGGGUCAAUACCCGCAACACCUAGUACUCAUCGUUUACGGCGUGGACUACCAGGGUAUCUAAUCCUGUUUGCUCCCCACGCUUUCGCGUCUCAGCGUCAAUAUCGGUCCAGGUAGCCGCCUUCGCCACCGGUGUUCCUCCUAAUAUCUACGGAUUUCACUCCUACACUAGGAAUUCCACUACCCUCUCCCGUAUUCAAGUCUGACAGUUUCCAAUGCACUUCCCAGGUUGAGCCCGGGGCUUUCACAUCAGACUUACCAAACCGCCUACACGCGCUUUACGCCCAAUAAUUCCGAACAACGCUCGCACCCUCCGUAUUACCGCGGCUGCUGGCACGGAGUUAGCCGGUGCUUCCUUUGAGGGUACCGUCAAGCAAAGAUGAUAUUAGCACCCCUGCAUUUCUUCCCCUCUGACAGAGCUUUACGACCCGAAGGCCUUCAUCACUCACGCGGCGUUGCUGCGUCAGGGUUUCCCCCAUUGCGC
rnacentral:rRNA from 1 species